UCCGAAGGGGGCUAUCGUUAUUCGGAAUUACUGGGCGUAAAGCGCGCGUAGGCGGACUGUUAAGUCUGGGGUGAAAGCCCGGGGCUCAACUCCGGAUCUGCCUUUGAAACUGUGAGACUGGAGUCAGGGAGAGGUGACCGGAAUUCCGAGUGUAGAGGUGAAAUUCGUAGAUAUUGGGUGGAACACCAGUGGCGAAGGCGGCUCACUGGACCGUCACUGACGCUGAGGCACGAAAGCUUGGGUAGCGAAUAGG
rnacentral:rRNA from 1 species